AUUGAACGCUGGCGGCAGGCCUAACACACGCAAGUCGAGCGGAGCGGCGGAAGGGUGAGUAAUGUCUGGGAAACUGCCUGAUGGAGGGGGAUAACGUCCGGAAACGGCCGCUAAUACCGCAUACUAUCAGAUGAGCCUAGGUCGGAUUAGCUAGUUGGUGGGGUAAAGGCCUACAAAGGCGACGAUCCGUAACUGGUCUGAGGGGAUGAUCAGUAAAAUGGUAACGGAGACACGGUCCAGACUCCUACGGGAGGCAGCAGUGGGGAAUAUUGGACAAUGGGGGAAGGCCUGAGCCAGCCAUGCGGCGGGUGGGAAGAAGGUCUUCGGAUUGUAAAGCACUUUAAGUUGGGAGGCGUUACCAACAGAAUAAGCAACGGCUAACUUCGUGCCAGCAGCCGCGGUAAUAC
rnacentral:rRNA from 1 species